CUAACAUUUUGUUUUUGAUUAAAAAAAAUAUUUUCUUGCAAGCUAUCAACAAUAUAGUAAGGUAUACCUUUUUGAACAAAGGUAAAACAGUUACUUUUUUCUCUGCCUGAUACCUCCAGAAUUCAGAAACUCUCAGUGAGCAUUCUUAUUUUCACUUACAUAAAUGAUGAAGCCAAAUUUUUAAUAUAAACAAACUCGCUGUGCCGUAAUUAUCUUUUUUCAAAAAUGAUGAGAGUAUUGUGUGGAGAAAAAAUUAUUUUCCACCUUUGUGGAUAUUGGAUUCUAGUCCUGUUAACUGUCUUGGAGGUUUUGUUAUCUACUUACAGACUGGACUCCCCUGGCCUAAGGUAUUGCCUUUGGUCUUGCUGACUGUUCACAAUGCCCACUUUGGACAAAAUGAACCAACCACACAUGGGAUGGUCACUGGCAGAUAAAUGUCUGUCAGUACAAAACCUUCUGCUGACUUUUGUAAUCUUAUGCUAGUAUAAACAGCCACUCUACAUCUUAUGCUUCAGCCUAUCAUGAACAGCUUCAAAAAGCUAUCCCAGAUUGCAAUUCAAAGGAUCCUGCUGAUCACAGUCUAGAGUUUGGUGACUAUGAGUUUGGAAAUAUCAUCAGAAUAACACAGCCCUUGAGCCCCAUUGGGAAGGGCCUUACCAACUCCUUUAGAUGACUGGAAAUAUGCUCAGUUCUCAGAAACCAAUCUAAAACUGACUCAUGAUAAAAAUUUCUAGGAAGAGAAGUAGCUGCCACCUGUUGUAGACAGCUGUCCCAAGAUCCCGGGCCAUGCUUGUAUAUCCACUUCCAUCACUACUUAAUAUUACCAUUGUCAUAUUUUUUAAGCGUCGUUUAAAACUUUUCUGAUACUGUGUUUGCUUUUCCAAUCCACAUAUGAAUGGGCCCCUAAUAGCAAUGUAAUUUUACAAUGGUCUAAUUUUUAGAAAAUCAGGAAGAGACAUAGAACUAGAAAAAUGCCCUUGCCAGAAGCAUUUUCCUGGGGAGAAAUGCGCUGCAUCCCAAAAGGUUCCAGAGGCAGGGCUGUGCCUGGAGCAGCAGCAGCAGUUGCCCCUGCAGGCAUAAGAUGGCCACAUUGGCCAGUCCUCACUGGUGCCCUCAGGGAUGGAGGUGGCUCCUCUUCCAGCCUCAGUGUGCCUGAGAUCUGCUUUCACUCUGCACAGCAGGAAGGGUGGUUGGAGAUGAGGACAAACACCUCCUAUGAGAUGUGGGACAGUCUUGCCUUGUGCAGAUGCUCGGGAUGCUCAGGCAGAAUAUCAUGUGGCUGUUCCUGGUGAAUUAGCUCUUUUUGUGGUACUGAUUCAAGGAGUAACACAGAGAUGCAGCGUCCUCCCAUAAAAUGCCUCCUUGGAGCUGUCCACAUCUAGCCAGAUGUGUUCUUCAUAGCCGUGCUUCAGCCAAGGAAAUAUGGAGAAAGUGAGAAUGGUGGAUCAUAGCCCAGACUUAAACAACAACACUUUUACUGAUGGUCUACAGGAUAUCCUACCUAUGUGGAAUGUAUUUGUAUGGACACUCCAUGAGUUGGCCUGUCGACAGAAGAGGAACCUUCACUGAUAUUCCACAAAAUGUCCAUUUCACAUAUGAUGCAUUCUAACUGGCAUCCCAAGGGUUGUCAUAUCUGCAUGGUCUUAUCUAGUCUGAAGCAGAUGGGGGCAUGUAGACCUAACUGGGCAAACACUUCCAGGCGUGUCUCUACAUGAAGGUAGGAGAGCAAGCCAUUGCUAGUAGAACACUGCCCAUCUCUGCCCUAAUUAGCCACUCUUGUCACCAAAUAUUUCUGUGUGGCCCUCUUCCCACAUAUAGAAUACACUUUCCUCAUAAAAGAAAGCCAAAAUAUGUCCAUUGAUGGCAUCUAUCUCAAGAUCUAAGAAUCCGAGGUGACUCAAGAUCUCUCCAUCAGGACCAAAUGUGGGUCCUCUUGAUACAAUCACUUAUUAAGUGAAAAUUAAAAUUAUCUCCCUCAUCUGCCCGCCCCCAGGAGCUCAUACAAGAUACAGUGUUCAUAUAGUGUAGAAACAGAAACAAGUUUAUUUGAGGAAAUGCUUCCAUUCAGAAAGGAGAGGCAAGGUAGUCACGUAGCAGAUAGAGGGCCAUAGUUCUGCCAUGUAGAUACACAAACAUAGUUAGUGGGGAGGGUGAGGCUCCUUCAAAAGGUCAGUUCUGAUCUCCAGGAGAAAAAUCCUCAUCCUUCUCUGUAUCUCCCUGGCUCCAUCUUGUCAGAGCUGCUACCUUAUCCAUGUCCAUCCUUAACUAUGUUUGAACUGAACAUGGGGGCUAUGUCUUCUUUGAGGGCUGUGCUGUUUGCAAACAUACCUGUGCUCCAAUGGCCACUGGGUAGCCCAUGCAAUCAAUAUGGAUUUUUUUGUUUGUUUUCAAAUAUAUUUUAGUUUAUUUAUUUUUAGUGUUCUGGAUGCUUUGGUAAUAAAGUAAAAUGUUCUUACUUAUCUGCUUCCA
rnacentral:lncRNA from 1 species